rnacentral:ncRNA from 1 species
CUCGUGACUGCGUGCCUUUUGAAGAAUGAGCCUGCGAGUUUGCGGUGUGUUGCGAGGUUAACCCGUGUGGGGAAGCCGUAGCGAAAGCGAGUCCGAAUAGGGCGAUGUAGUAGCGCGCUCAAGACCCGAAGCGGAGUGAUCUAGCCAUGGGCAGGUUGAAGCGGCUGUAAGAGGUCGUGGAGGACCGAACCCACCAGGGUUGAAAACCUGGGGGAUGACCUGUGGUUAGGGGUGAAAGGCCAAUCAAACUCCGUGAUAGCUGGUUCUCCCCGAAAUGCAUUUAGGUGCAGCGUCGUGUGUUUCUUGCCGGAGGUAGAGCACUGGAUAGGCGAUGGGCCCUACCGGGUUACUGACCUUAGCCAAACUCCGAAUGCCGGUAAGUGAGAGCGCGGCAGUGAGACUGUGGGGGAUAAGCUCCAUGGUCGAGAGGGAAACAGCCCAGAGCAUCGACUAAGGCCCCUAAGCGUACGCUAAGUGGGAAAGGAUGUGGAGUCGCACAGACAACCAGGAGGUUGGCUUAGAAGCAGCCACCCUUGAAAGAGUGCGUAAUAGCUCACUGGUCUAGUGAUUCCGCGCCGACAAUGUAGCGGGGCUCAAGCGUACCGCCGAAGUCGUGUCAUU